rnacentral:rRNA from 1 species
CCUACGGGUCGCAGCAGUGGGGAACAUUGGACAAUGGGCGAAAGCCUGAUCCAGCCAUGCCGCGUGUGUGAAGAGGGCCUUCGGGUUGUAAAGCACUUUCAGUGGGGAAGAAAGCCUUGGGGCUAAUACCCUCGAGGAAGGACAUCACCCACAGAAGAAGCACCGGCUAACUCCGUGCCAGCAGCCGCGGUAAUACGGAGGGUGCGAGCGUUAAUCGGAAUUACUGGGCGUAAAGCGCGCGUAGGCGGUCUGAUAAGCCGGUUGUGAAAGCCCCGGGCUCAACCUGGGAACGGCAUCCGGAACUGUCAGGCUAGAGUGCAGGAGAGGAAGGUAGAAUUCCCGGUGUAGCGGUGAAAUGCGUAGAGAUCGGGAGGAAUACCAGUGGCGAAGGCGGCCUUCUGGACUGACACUGACGCUGAGGUGCGAAAGCGUGGGUAGCAAACAGGAUUAGAUACCCCAGUAGUC